UUUCAGAAAGCUCAGGGGAAAUUUGUUUAGGAUUUAGGACUUGGUUAUUGGGAUUAAGACCUAAUUUGGUUUCGGGUUAGGGUAAUGGAUUAUGUAAACAAAGUCUCUCACAAAGAAUAGGUUUUUGAGCUGUGUGGGUUUGUGUGUCUGUGGCUAAAAGCGGUGACCGACUAAGAAGCUUUGUGAUUCACGGAGCUACUAGCAGCACAGAUGUCUUGCCUCCCUACAAGUGAGACAGGCAAGUAAGGACAGAAUAUGAAAAAAGGGGUCCUUAACAGCAAGAACAGUUAAAAGAAAGAGCUUGGAAAAUUGACUGAGUUGUUUGUAAUAGAAAACAAGGAAAACAUUUAUAAAUUUCAGAGAGAAAGGGGAUGCGGUUGAGGCAGCGAGGAAGAGGUUAGUAGAUUAAGCAGGGUUAGAGGGGAUUAGUGUCAGGUUUGGUUUGGUUGUAAACUCACAUCCCUGUCAGUCACUUUUAGCUAUGGCUGACAUGCUCACAAUACUGAUUCACUCCAUCUCAGAGAUCAAACUCUGAAUAAAGUCCCAGGGAAACUGGACAACAGCAAAAGAAGGAGAAAUAGCAAUUUUUUCCUCUUGGGGGCUCUUGAUGACAAACAUGAUACCAGCGAUGGAAGAUGGGGUCAACGAGGUAUUAUCAAGCGUUGUGGAGGAUGUUGGUGAAGCCGUCAGCAGAAACAUUAGUGGUGCGCAGCUCCUGCAUGAACUACUGAGCGCUCCGUGGCUGCGUGCCUUACUAAAGAUUUACGAGUGCCUGAUGCAGUUCCAGAGAUUUACACCGAGCCCACUUCUACCGUGUGCCUCUGGACUCUUAUUUGAGAUCAUGGCCAUCAUACAAAGAGCGCAUCGUCCGUCAGCCGAAGCUCGUGAACUCUACAACCUCCUCAGCUCACCACAUAUCCAGGCCCUCCUGUCAUCUCACGACAGUGUGGCACAGUAUGACUAUUUACCCGUCCUUCCCCCGCUGCCUGAUGAGUUACCUGAGGAUGAGGAGGCCAUGAGGAUUGUAUGUCUUGUGAAGAACAACCAGCCUCUGAGUGCAAAGGGUAGCAGAAGUGUAGAAGACGGGAAUGGAGUGAUCCGUAGCCGUUGGAGCAGCCUUCGUCGACACACAUUGGAGCGCCUCAUCCCUGCGAGGCGGGCAUGGUCAGGGGAGGAGCUCAGAAUGACUGACAGAGAGGCCAGGCCUCUAACCCCCCUUGGAAAUCCACCCUGCCACUUUCAUUCCCAUGACAAGUUGACAGGAAGUUGUUGUUUAUGUCCACAAAAUGCAGAGCUUUGGAAGCAAGGGCUCCACCGCUCGGCUCCGGCUGUCUUUAACCCAGACGCAUGCUCCGAGAGACCCGGACGAAACAAAGAAGGCGAUGCUUCAAGCGUAGGGAGCAGUGAUGACUAUUCUUACCCUCCCCCUCCAAUCCCAGCCUACAGUGUCAGUCUUCCCAACUCUCCCCUCAUGUACAAAAGGGGAGUUCUAGGAGGAGAAUCUAGGAGCAUUCCGACUCCUGGUAGGGCCCCUGUUAGAGUCCACACAGCACCAGCAUUGCCUGCAACUCAGCAGUCUACUCGGCAUCAAGGAGUCAGCACUCUCCCAAAUCCUGUCCAGCUUAGGCACAAAGUGCCUUUGAAGCAUCCACAUGAGCACAACUCUUCUGUUCUGCAUCACAACCAUCCACAACAGAAUGUCCCACAAGAGCAGCAACAGAAACAUUAUCAAUCUCCUCCGCCUCCUGAGUUCAACAAAACCUGCAGCAUGGAAGAGCUCAGGACCACUGUCCAAAGCGUGGCCUGCAGUAUUGAACACAGCAGUCAGGAUGUACGCCACCUGGGACAGAAAAUGGUGGCAGCAACGGAAAUGAUCACGGACCGUGUGGAAGAGAAUGUCCAGGCCCUCAACCUCCUUGCUGAAGUGGUUGAUAAGCUCCAGGGGAUCAUCGUGUCCAAAAACCACUCUGAAGCAUCUGCUUCAUGCAGGCCGAAAUUGAAACGUCGCCCCACACCACCUCCAAGAGUCUCCUCUUUAUCUCCCAAAUUGACCCGCAAACCUCCAGCACCUUACCCACGGCCCCUCUCAUGCUCCCAUUCUUCCUCCAGCUCCUCUUCUUCAUCUGCCAGCUGCGCAGAAGGUUUUACAGGCUACCACAGCCCCAAAGGGCUGCAAGGAGGAAACAAAGCCAGCACACUAAGAAACGACGCAGACAACAAUGGACAUGUCCAAUUCAACAAAGGAAUAAUUACAAGAGCUCAACAGGAAAACAAACGAGACUGCAAGGUCACAGACUGUUUAACAAUGAACAAGAAAAAGAAGAAAAAUAAGCAGCCAUACUGAAAAAACCUUCUGCAUGUUGUCUGCUUGAAUAUUGGAAACAGACUCAUUUAGCAGCCUUCAUGUACCAACCUUUUUCUUAACCAGUUGUUUAUGUUAGUAGCUGCAAAUAUGCAUAUUCAUGGAUUUUUCUCACCACAAAUUCAGUUUUUUUUUUUCCAAUGGAUCAUCUGAAGGAUGCAAAAGGAAAUUGAAUGAAAGGGGGCGACAAUAAGAAGGGAUGAAGCGACAGGAGACAUCUACAUCGCCCGAGUGAUUCAUGGAGGACUGGCAGAUCGCAGUGG